rnacentral:rRNA from 1 species
GAUGAACGCUGGCGGCGUGCUUAAUACAUGCAAGUCGAACGAGAACCUGGAGCUUGCUCCAGGGGGCAGUGGCGAAUGGGUGCGUAACACGUAGGUGACCUGCCCUCAAGCGGGGGAUAACGGGCCGAAAGGACCGCUAAUACCGUAUGUGGUCGCUCGGUCGGACGAGCGACUAAACUUCCGGGGCUUGAGGAGGGGCCUGCGGCCCAUCAGCUAGUUGGUAGGGUAACGGCCUACCAAGGCGACGACGGGUAGGGGGCCUGAGAGGGUGGUCCCCCACACUGGCACUGACACACGGGCCAGACUCCUACGGGAGGCAGCAGUAAGGAAUAUUGGGCAAUGGGCGAAAGCCUGACCCAGCAACGCCGCGUGAGCGAUGAAGGCCUUCGGGUCGUAAAGCUCUUUUCCCAGGGAAGAGGAAGGACGGUACCUGGGGAAUAAGUCACGGCUAACUACGUGCCAGCAGCCGCGGUAAAACGUAGGUGGCGAGCGUUAUCCGGAUUCACUGGGCGUAAAGCGCACGCAGGCGGCUCGGUAGGUAGGGCAUGAAAUCUCCCGGCUUAACUGGGAGAGGUUGUCCUAUACCGCCGGGCUUGAGGAUGGGAGAGGGAAGUGGAACUGCCGGUGUAGUGGUGAAAUGCGUAGAGAUCGGCAAGAACACCAGUGGCGAAGGCGGCUUCCUGGCCCAUUCCUGACGCUCAGGUGCGAAAGCUAGGGGAGUGAACGGGAUUAGAAACCCCGGUAAUCCUAGCCGUAAACGAUGUGCACUAGGUGUCGGGGGUAUUGACCCCCUCGGUGCCGAAGCUAACGCGUUAAGUGCACCGCCUGGGGACUACGGCCGCAAGGUUA